rnacentral:rRNA from 1 species
GUGAACAAGCUGGAAAGCUUGGCGAUACAGGGUGAUAGCCCCGUAACCGACGCUUCAUCGAGCGUGAAAUCGAGUAGGGCGGGACACGUGAUAUCCUGUCUGAAUAUGGGGGGACCAUCCUCCAAGGCUAAAUACUCCUGACUGACCGAUAGUGAACCAGUACCGUGAGGGAAAGGCGAAAAGAACCCCUGUGAGGGGAGUGAAAUAGAACCUGAAACCGUGUACGUACAAGCAGUAGGAGCACCUUCGUGGUGUGACUGCGUACCUUUUGUAUAAUGGGUCAGCGACUUAUAUUCAGUGGCAAGGUUAACCGUAUAGGGGAGCCGUAGCGAAAGCGAGUCUUAACUGGGCGCUCAGUCUCUGGAUAUAGACCCGAAACCGGGUGAUCUAGCCAUGGGCAGGUUGAAGGUUGAGUAACAUCAACUGGAGGACCGAACCGACUAAUGUUGAAAAAUUAGCGGAUGACUUGUGGCUAGGGGUGAAAGGCCAAUCAAACUCGGAGAUAGCUGGUUCUCCCCGAAAGCUAUUUAGGUAGCGCCUCGGACGAAUACUACUGGGGGUAGAGCACUGUUAAGGCUAGGGGGUCAUCCCGACUUACCAACCCUUUGCAAACUCCGAAUACCAGUAAGUACUAUCCGGGAGACACACGGCGGGUGCUAACGUCCGUCGUGGAGAGGGAAACAACCCAGACCGCCAGCUAAGGUCCCAAAGUAUUGCUAAGUGGGAAACGAUGUGGGAAGGCUCAGACAGCUAGGAUGUUGGCUUAGAAGCAGCCAUCAUUUAAAGAAAGCGUAAUAGCUCACUAGUCGAGUCGGCCUGCGCGGAAGAUGUAACGGGGCUAAGCA